GAGUUUGAUCGUGGCUCAGAUUGAACGCUGGCGGCAUGCCUUACGCAUGCAAGUCGAACGGCAGCAUGAUCUAGCUUGCUAGAUUGAUGGCGAGUGGCGAACGGGUGAGUAAUACAUCGGAACGUGCCCUGUAGUGGGGGAUAACUAGUCGAAAGAUUAGCUAAUACCGCAUACGACCUGAGGGUGAAAGUGGGGGACCGCAAGGCCUCAUGCUAUAGGAGCGGCCGAUGUCUGAUUAGCUAGUUGGUGGGUAAAGGCCCACCAAGGCGACGAUCAGUAGCAGGUCUGAGAGGACGAUCAGCCACACUGGGACUGAGACACGGCCCAGACUCCUACGGGAGGCAGCAGUGGGGAAUUUUGGACAAUGGGCGAAAGCCUGAUCCAGCAAUGCCGCGUGUGUGAAGAAGGCCUCGG
rnacentral:rRNA from 1 species